rnacentral:rRNA from 1 species
GACGAACGCUGGCGGCGUGCUUAACACAUGCAAGUCGAACGGUAAGGCCCUUCGGGGUACACGAGUGGCGAACGGGUGAGUAACACGUGGGUGAUCUGCCCUGCACUUCGGGAUAAGCCUGGGAAACUGGGUCUAAUACCGGAUAGGACCACUGCCUGCAUGGGUGGUGGUGGAAAGCUUUUGCGGUGUGGGAUGGGCCCGCGGCCUAUCAGCUUGUUGGUGGGGUGAUGGCCUACCAAGGCGACGACGGGUAGCCGGCCUGAGAGGGUGACCGGCCACACUGGGACUGAGAUACGGCCCAGACUCCUACGGGAGGCAGCAGUGGGGAAUAUUGCACAAUGGGCGCAAGCCUGAUGCAGCGACGCCGCGUGAGGGAUGACGGCCUUCGGGUUGUAAACCUCUUUCAGCACCGACGAAGCGCAAGUGACGGUAGGUGCAGAAGAAGGACCGGCCAACUACGUGCCAGCAGCCGCGGUAAAAC